rnacentral:lncRNA from 1 species
CCCAGUUCUCCCAGGACCAUUUGUUGAAAAGGCAGGCACCUCAUUUUACAGAAGAGGAAACUGAGGCCCAGAAAGAGAAGUGGCAUGCCCAAGGCUGUGCCAGAAGCAAAGUGUAAAAUAGAUCCUGAGCCUCCGACUCCUGUAACUCCUCCAGGGGACAGCAGCAUCUCUUCUGACUCUUUGCUUCCAUGUCUUGAGGAAGCAGCCUCCUGCCUAUGGCCAUCUGAGGAAGCCAUCUUGGAAGCAGACCCCUCAGCCCCAGUCAAGCCUUCAGAUGACUGAAGUCUCAGCUGACAUCUUGACUUUAAUUUAAAAAAAAAAAAAAAAAAAAAAAAACAAACAAACAAACAAAAAAAAACUCCAAGCCAGAACUACCCCCAACUGGAAUUUGAGAGCUGCUUUCAAAUCCUGACCCAUAGAAACUUAGAUAAUAAAUGUUUGUUGUUUUAAGCCACUCAUUUUUAGAGAAAUUUGUUAUGCAGCAAUAGCUAGCUAAUACAGAGAAUUAACCAGCCUCUCUUAAAUUACCACCACAAAAUCAACUACCUAUUUUAUUAAAAGGUAAAACCAGCUGCUGAAGAACGUUUUUCCUCUCAAGGCUUUGGCACUUAAGAUUCAACAGUAAGAAGGAUUGAAGAGUGAAGGCUUCCUGGCUACCCCGUGGCAUCCUGUGUUUGGUUUGAAGCGUGAUAAGCCUGGGUUGCUCUUCCAGUCCACCUUGUCUUAAAUGUGGGAAAUAGUCUACAGUUUGGAAGACACCAGAGAAAAAUGCUCCACAGCUCGCCCUGGUGACUCACUACAACUUAUGGGAAGAUGUGAGAUUAUUCUGUAUUCUAAUGUAUGUUAGAAGGCACACUCCACCCAAAGCCUUCCUGUGUGUUCCUCCCUGUGAGCUCACAUCCCGUUCACCAGCUGACUGGGAAGGGAAGUCAGGACCAGCCCUGACCCCAUCACACCAUCAUAACCUCGGGAUGGCAGGGCUGGAAGGCACCUCAGACGUCAUCCUUUGCAGACUCUUCAUUUUACAGUGAGAGGCAUGACGUGUCCACAGCUGGUUAGUGCCAAAGCCUGGGACAGGCUUCACAUUGUCCAGCUCUUAGUCAGAGCACUGUUGACAAUGUCUGCCUUCACUUGGAAUUCAGCACCUGCUUUCAGUAUAAACCCCUGCAUUUCACUAAAACUGAGCAGACUGCUGGUUUAAAAAAGAGAGGUCCAUCCAGCAGGGAUGAUGCUUUUCCUCGUUGAAAGAGGACAUUCACCUAAUGGGAGACCUGGAGUCAGAAUCUUUCUGAUGUGUGACUUGGCACAGUAACACAAUGCAGGAUGCUGGUGUGUUAAUAAAAAUAAAAAUUGCAUCGCCUACCUCAGAGUCGACAACAAUGUCAAGGAGUUA